AGCGGAAUCAGGUGGGGGGAGACUGAACGCAUAUGCACGCACACACGCACGCACACAUACACACACACAGCAACAGGACUCACCAGAAACUGGGAUCCCGUGAGAUGAGGGAGUAAGUUGCUACAACUUACACUGCUCUAAGACCCUGUAUGAAAUAUAAUUUAUUUAUACAGCCUCGGAGUUCCCCCCGAAUAAAGCGCACGGCAUCUUCUAGUACAGGGGUUCUCAACGUUUUUGACGUCGUGGCCCAAUUUUCCCAGUAUGAAGUGGUCCAGGGCCCAUUUAAAUAUUAAUAACUUCAAUUGAUCUGAGUCUUGGUUUGAUUUGAAUUCAACAACUAAAUCAAAUCCACUUACAGUUUAACAAGCUAAAACCUUGUAAAAUAAAUGAUAUGAUACACUGUGAUAAUCUCAAAGACAUCUUUUAUAUUGUGCAUGUAAAACCUGCACAUAGAACACUGAAGAGGUGAACAAUUAUAACAAAUCAGGUUACUGCAAGAACAAAUAUAAAUUGUCAAGCCAAGCUUAUUAAUAAAAGAUCAGAAAUACAAAAAUAUUUUGAUUUAGAUAUUAAGAAAUUCUGGUAAAACUCUGUGGCACUAAAAUAAAUAUAUUCAAAAUAAUAAAAUUUAAAUAGUGCAACUGAAAUUAUUGCCUGAGAAACUGCUGAUGAAUUUUACAAUUUGUCUGAUGCCACGUCAACAGUACGGUGACUCAGUGUUAUUUGAGAGUGGGACGGUCAUCAGCUUCUUGAAAGCAGCCUCUCCUAUCAUCUCACGGCACAUGUCCACAGCGGCAGGUAGAACCAAGUCCUCCACUAUGGUGACCGCCUUCUUACUCUCCGCCACACGUCUGGCUAUGAGGUAGCUUACUUUUAAAGCACAUUUAGAGUCGCCAGUCAGUGACACGAUAGAUCUUUUCUGCAUCUGUAACCCAGUUUCUUUUCUCUUGAAAAAAAUCCACCGGCUUCCUAAAUAGCUUUGGAUGUUUGGUUUCGAGGUGCCGCCUUACUUUUGAAGGCUUCAGUGGCUAACGUUAACCCACACUCAACACACCGGGCUCUCGGCUCUGCCUUGCUACCUCUGUUCACAAAGCUGAACUGAAUAAAAGCAGGGUUGUACUUGCGCCCAAAUUUCGCCUUUGAGAAGGGGGUGGCAUCACUUCCAUCUUCAUUUUAUCAUUUUAAAAAGUGACUUAAACUUUCCAUAGCUUCAAUCAAAGCUUGCAGCUGGCUGCUGCUGCUUAAUGGAGGUGCGAAGCUGCAUUGCAGUCCUGCAGCCCUCACGGCCCACAGGUGCAAAACUGAAAGAUUUUCUUGUGGUUGAGAUUAACUGUUCUAGUGCAUCAUAUCUCCGCAGAAACAGACCAUUUGUCUUUAAAAUACACUUCAGAGUCUUCAUGCACAUAAUCACAUUGUGCUUCACAAACAAAGCCUCCAGUAUAUUAUUGUAUGUGAGCCCCAGGUUAAAGUAAAACUUAAUCAAGUUCUGGUUAUCCAUGAUGUGCAAUCCAUCCAAAUGAUUCAACGAACCUGUGUUGCCAGGCUGGAAAUAUGGGCUCAAAAGUUAUUGUGAGGGAACGCAUUAAUACUGUGAGGGAACACAAUAAUCUGGGCCAAAAAAUUAACCACCAUGUCCCUAGGCGGGCUCUGUAUAAACGUGUUGAGAGCAAGCAUAUUUAAAAAACAAAAAAAAAACAAAGUGUGUGUGGCAGUGGGCGGAUCUCCCCCCCAAUAAGGGAUUGUGGCUUUAAAUCAUUUUGCAACCUCCUUUUGGGAGAUAACGUCAGAUACCGUUUACAUUGUAACUCCUCAGUAUUUGAGAAAGUUUGAACGCUGUACAUCUGGUUUUCUCCCUACAAAAUAACAAAACCACUUUUGCUUUAUUUGUGGUAAGGGCUCCAUUUUUGUGUGUAAUUUUAUUUUUCAAGGUUAACACACUUCUGACUGAAGUGGCAUCUGAAAAGGUACUCUCACACAGAGGGUGUAUUUGUGGCAUUUAGAGGCACGUGUAGCACUCC